rnacentral:rRNA from 1 species
AACGAACGCUGGCGGCAUGCCUAACACAUGCAAGUCGAACGAGACCUUCGGGUCUAGUGGCGCACGGGUGCGUAACGCGUGGGAACCUGCCCUUAGGUUCGGAAUAACUCCCCGAAAGGGGUGCUAAUACCGGAUAAUGUCUUCGGACCAAAGAUUUAUCGCCUUUGGAUGGGCCCGCGUUGGAUUAGCUAGUUGGUAGGGUAAAAGCCUACCAAGGCGACGAUCCAUAGCUGGUCUGAGAGGAUGAUCAGCCACACUGGGACUGAGACACGGCCCAGACUCCUACGGGAGGCAGCAGUGGGGAAUAGUGGACAAUGGGCGAAAGCCUGAUCCAGCAAUGCCGCGUGAGUGAUGAAGGCAGUAGGGUUGUAAAGCUCUUUUACCCGGGAUGAUAAUGACAGUACCGGGAGAAUAAGCUCCGGCUAACUCCGUG